CAUGCCGUAAACGAUGAUAGCUAGAUGUGUGCGGUAUUGACCCCGUACGUGUCGAAGCAAACGCGAUAAGCUAUCCGCCUGGGGAGUACGGUCGCAAGAUUAAAACUCAAAGGAAUUGACGGGGGCCCGCACAAGCGGUGGAGCAUGUGGUUUAAUUCGACGCAACGCGAAGAACCUUACCUAGGCUUGACAUGUAUAGAAGUCCUUGGAAACUUGGAUGUGCUCGCAAGAGAGCUAUAACACAGGUGC
rnacentral:rRNA from 1 species